rnacentral:rRNA from 1 species
UACGUAGGGUGCAAGCGUUGUCCGGAAUUAUUGGGCGUAAAGAGCUCGUAGGCGGUUUGUCGCGUCGAAUGUGAAAACCCGGGGCUCAACCCCGAGCCUGCAGUCGAUACGGGCAGACUAGAGUGCUGUAGGGGAGACUGGAAUUCCUGGUGUAGCGGUGAAAUGCGCAGAUAUCAGGAGGAACACCGGUGGCGAAGGCGGGUCUCUGGGCAGUAACUGACGCUGAGGAGCGAAAGCGUGGGGAGCGAACAGG